rnacentral:lncRNA from 1 species
CGAUUUUGGGCUGAAAGUCGACGGCGGUGGCUCGGCGCCACUGUCGGUCUGACCGGAGAAGGUCGAAGGCUGUGAGGCGGCUCAACGCCGUUGCUCCAGCAAGGUCUUGAGGGGAGAGCCGAGAGGUGCUUGGGGGGGGAGAGGAGGCUGAGCCUAGGGCUCCGGCGAGCGGCUCCUGCUGCUGCUUGUCGGCGGGAGACCGAGAGGGAGGCUAGGCGCUG